CUGGUAACCUAGGAAACUGGCAUCCUCUCUACAUUGACUGAGUAGGUACAGCACAGGCAGUGGCAGUACAAGCUUCUCUGUGUUGCCCCACCAAUGUGCCUCGCUCAUGCAUUCAAGGAACAACACUGUCUUAAGUGGAACUAUUCUGUCUAUAGUGGGUACCAAGAGGGUAGUUCAGUCCACAUGUCCAUUAAACCCAGGC
ensembl:misc_RNA